GUCGAGUGCGCGUGCCGUAGCAAUACGGUAUGGCGCACGGCGCACGGGUGCGUAACACGUGGGCAAUCUGCCCUCCGGUGGGGAAUAACCCCGCGAAAGCGGGGCUAAUUCCGCAUAACAUUCCCUGGACUCUGGUUCGGGGAUUCAAAGCAGCAAUGCGCCGGAGGAGGAGCCCGCGCCCGAUUAGCUAGUUGGUGAGGUGACGGCUCACCAAGGCAAUGAUCGGUAGCUGGUCUGAGAGGAUGGCCAGCCACACUGGAACUGAGACACGGUCCAGACUCCUACGGGAGGCAGCAGUGGGGAAUCUUGCGCAAUGGGCGAAAGCCUGACGCAGCGACGCCGCGUGGGGGAUGAAGCUUCUCGGAGUGUAAACCCCUUUCGACCGGGACGAAUGCCCGCAAGGGAGUGACGGUACCGGUAGAAGAAGCCCCGGCUAACUACGUGCCAGCAGCCGCGGUAAGACGUAGGGGGCCAGCGUUGUUCGGAAUUACUGGGUGUAAAGGGUUCGUAGGCGGUGUGGCAAGUCGGGAGUGAAAUUUCUGGGCUUAACCCAGAAGCUGCUUCCGAAACUGCUGUGCUAGAGUGCGGGAGAGGCGCGUGGAAUUGCAGGUGUAGCGGUGAAAUGCGUAGAUAUCUGCAGGAACACCCGUGGCGAAAGCGGCGCGCUGGACCGUUACUGACGCUGAGGAACGA
rnacentral:rRNA from 1 species